rfam:Streptomyces viridochromogenes strain NRRL 3414 P001contig157.1, whole genome shotgun sequence.
CUUCACGGAGCCGAGCCACAGCGGUCGUUCGGCGUCGUGGUCCUGGCCGUAGGUGGCCAGCAGCGCCUGCGCCUC